UACGUAGGUGGCAAGCGUUGUCCGGAUUUACUGGGCGUAAAGAGCGCGCAGGCGGUCGACCAAGUCGCGUGUGAAAGCCCCCGGCUCAACUGGGGAGGGUCACGCGAUACUGAUCGACUCGAAGGCAGGAGAGGGUAGUGGAAUUCCCGGUGUAGUGGUGAAAUGCGUAGAUAUCGGGAGGAACAUCGAUGCGAAGGCAGGUCUCGUGGGCAUUAACUGACGCUGAGGAGCGAAAGCAUGGGAGCGAACAGG
rnacentral:rRNA from 1 species